CUUCGUUGGUGGCGUACCUCCCUUUCGCGGGCGGUGUAAUCGCAUACCUGUCAUCUGACACUGCAGAUUCUCCAAGCCCGCCGUUACGCGGGCUUUUUUAU
rfam:Serratia odorifera DSM 4582 genomic scaffold SCAFFOLD1, whole genome shotgun sequence.